rnacentral:rRNA from 1 species
AAUGAACGCUAGCGGAAGGCAUAAUACAUGCAAGUCGAACGGAUGUAGCAAUACAUUAGUGGCGCACGGGUGCGUAACGCGUAUGCAACCUACCUUCAUCAGGGGGAUAACUACCCGAAAGGGUGGCUAACACCGCAUAAUACUAUUGAGUGGCAUCACUUGAUAUUUAAAUCUGAGGAGGAUGAAGAUGGGCAUGCGUCGGAUUAGCUAGUUGGUGUGGUAACGGCGCACCAAGGCGACGAUCAGUAGGGGAACUGAGAGGUUGGUCCCCCACACUGGCACUGAGGUACGGGCCAGACGCCUAUGGGAGGCAGCAGUAGGGAAUAUUGGUCAAUGGUGGGAACACUGAACCAGCCAUUCCGCGUGCAGGAAGAAGGGUCUCUGACUUGUAAACUGCUUUAGCAAGGGAAGAAAAAGCUCAUGCGUGAGAAAUUGACGGUACCUUGAGAAUAAGCACCGGCUAACUACGUGCCAGCAGCCGCGGUAAUAC